AGUGAACGCUGGCGGUAGGCCUAACACAUGCAAGUCGAACGGCAGCACAGGAGAGCUUGCUCUCUGGGUGGCGAGUGGCGGACGGGUGAGGAAUACAUCGGAAUCUACUUUUUCGUGGGAGAUAACGUAGGGAAACCUACGCUAAUACCGCAUACGACCUACGGGUGAAAGCAGGGGACCUUCGGGCCUUGCGCGAUUGAAUGAGCCGAUGUCGGAUUAGCUAGUUGGCGGGGUAAAGGCCCACCAAGGCGACGAUCCGUAGCUGGUCUGAGAGGAUGAUCAGCCACACUGGAACUGAGACACGGUCCAGACGCCUUCGGGAGGCAGCAGUGGGGAAUAUUGGACAAUGGGCGCAAGCCUGAUCCAGCCAUACCGCGUGGGUGAAGAAGGCCUUCGGGUUGUAAAGCCCUUUUGUUGGGAAAGAAAUCCAGCUGGCUAAUACCCGGUUGGGAUGACGGUACCCAAAGAAUAAGCACCGGCUAACUUCGUGCCAGCAGCCGCGGUAA
rnacentral:rRNA from 1 species